CUCAUUUAUUUAAUUUAUUACUUAAAAUUACAAAAAAUGUAAAAAUACAUUUACUUCAAAGAAAGACGACAAGACCCUAUUGAACUUAACUUAUGUUAAACUGGGGCAGUUAAUUAAUUAUUAUUUUAAUUUAAAUUUUCAAACAAAAAUCCAACAAAAUUGAUAAUCCAGUUACCAUAGGGAUAACAGCGCAAUUAAAUUUUAGAGAUCUUAUCUAAAAUAUAGAUUACGACCUCGAUGUUGAAUUAAUUACCUAAUUAAGGCAAAUCUUAAAUCAGGAAGUCUGUUCGACUUUUAAAAAAUUACAUGAUUUGAGUUCAGACCGGUGUAAGCCAGGUCGGUUUCUAUCUUCUAGAAAAAUUUCUUACAGUACGAAAGGACCCAAGAAAAUAAUAUAAUUUACUAAUUGGCAGAUUAAUGCAUUAGAAUUAGAAUCUAAUAAAACU
rnacentral:rRNA from 1 species